rnacentral:rRNA from 1 species
UACGGGAUAAUAUAUUUGAGAGGCAUCUCUUGAGUAUCAAAGGUGAGCCAGUACAGGAUGGACCCGCGUCUGAUUAGCUAGUUGGUAAGGUAACGGCUUACCAAGGCGACGAUCAGUAGCCGACCUGCGAGGGUGAUCGGCCACAUUGGAACUGAGACACGGUCCAAACUCCUACGGGAGGCAGCAGGGGGGAAUAUUGCACAAUGGGCGAAAGCCUGAUGCAGCAACGCCGCGUGAGUGAUGAAGGCCGUCGGGUC